rnacentral:sRNA from 2 species
CGCGAGCUCUGUCACAAAAGGUCCAAUAUCUACCCCCAUCUCAGCUACUAUUUCCAGCCUUCUUUGACUUUGCUUUUAAGUAAGCCAAAAGUGUCGACACAGAUCAAGCCCCAGAAACGGAGGGAAAGUGAGCCGAACGUGUUGGCAGGGAUAGCCGAGUCUUCCUCCAAGAAGGUUAAGCCAGUAGGUGAUUCUAUCCAUCACCAUCAUCACCAUCAUUUAAUCUGCCAUUGUGCUAUUGCUUGAUAUUAAGAAUCCUCAGAAAACAGUACCCGCCUCCUCAAUUCACCUCCCAAUGUUGCGAUCUCGCCUGAGGCAGGCAUGUCCAUCAUAGCCGCCACAAAGACUUUGCUAAGCUGACACUAGCCGGGAACUGUUGGGGGGUUUGGAUUGGUUCGUCCCCUCUACUACCAGCAUGGCGCCGGUAACCUAGAGGCGCUUGCUGCCCACAAGCAGGCGCUCAAUGCAGAGACUGCCGUUGGAUUUCCGCACCCAUUUAAACCAACUUGUAGCUGGAAUUUUCGACUACGUCUUCGACUAUGAUCAUCGAGGCAAAGUGGGACCGUUCAUCUAGGUUACUGGGGCAAAAGAGCUCAGUUACCACCAGCGCCAACCGGUAGCAGAGGGGAUGAGCCGCCCGAUCCAAUCUCUCCAACAGUCCACUCAAUGGAACUGGCAGUUGUCUAUAUGGGCAUGCACCUUAGACUUUUCUUCCUCAUUAAGCUUUGUAACAUGGGGACCCCCACUGAUAAACCAUGGCUGGCAUUCUGCAGGACCGUAUGGAACUAUCCCACCCGAAGCGAAUCGUGCAGAGUGUUGAGAGGAUAGUACCGGAUUACCGGAUGGGUUUGAAUGGUGGUUUGUGCUUUAACGGCAAGCAACUAUUUACUUCUGGCUUCCGUGAUAUACGCAAAGGCGGCUUCGCCGCUGCCAAUUAUGACGACCGCCUUUGUCUGUGUGGUCGAGGUGCUCAGGCCGGAAUUGAGGAAACUUGGACGUGGGACUCAAGUUUGGAUGUGAUUUCUUCCCGACAGCACCUUUGUGAAACUCUGUGUGAGGUGCUGUUGGAGCUUCUGAGCUGGUCAAUCACGGUUUUAAAAUUUUAUUGCUCUUAUCUAUAACUACUUAUUAUAUAUACAAGACAUAUUUCAUACUGGUUCGCUACUGUUUCACUUCAGCUUUGCUUCUGCAUCACUUACAGCUUUCAAUUCCUUUGAGCACACACCCCUCGCCCUCUCUUGCAACCAUGUUGGGAACGCUCUCAGCAAACUAACCCCAGACCGCGACGACGGAACAAUAACCUGCCCGCUCCGCUGCGACAAGACCUGCUUCACGACCGCGCUGGAGACCACGUCAACCGUCAUCACAGGCAUACUGAACACCGACCCGGGCCUCGUCAGCUGCUCGAUCAUCGGCGUGCUCACCCACAGCGGAUGCACGAUGCUCGUGCGCACCUUCUUCGCGUUAUACCACAGCCGCAACUCCUGCGUCAGCGCCUCAUGGAACGCCAGCGCACUCGCCUUCGAGCCGCAGUAGUCCGCCAUCUCGCCCACCGCGAUGAACGACGCCAUGCUGGCCAUCGUCACGACGUGGCCGUGGUUCUCGCGGAUCAUGGCCGGCAGGAACUCACGCACCAUCCAGAAGUGCGAGAUGGUGUUGACCUGGAAGGUGCGCUGGAUGCGCUCCUCGGGCUCGUCGAGGAUGGUGGCCCCAUAGCCCACGCCGGCGUUGUUGAUCAGCACGGUCGGGUCGCCGUGCGCGGCGCGGAUGGCGUCACCGACAACUUUGAUGAUGGCGGUCGAGGUGACGUCAGCUGCGUAGAAGAACACGUUGGGAGCUGCGUUUGCGUGUAAUGUCAGGACAUAUCUUUACUUUAUAUUCCAUUUUAUCUACUUCAAAUUCGGAGAGAUAUGGGGGGAUGGCAUACGCAGCUUAAAGCUCGGCUCAACCACGUCUAAAAUGACAACUCUAACCCCCUUCUGUGCGAGGUCAAGCAUAAUCUGUUUUCCAAUGCCGCUGCACCCGCCUGUCAGGAGCACGAGUUCGCGCUUGUUGUCCCAUGGCCGCUGUCUUUGCCAAUUGUUCACAACCAGGCUUGAAAGGGUGCGGUUGGCGGAGCGGAGGAUACUGAGCACGAGCACAGCGAGAAGGGCCUUUGUGAGGAGCGAGGAGUUGAUAUAGGAGAGGAGUGGGUCAAGACUAUUACCGAGAUAGUGGUGGAGUAGGUCGUGGGAUUUUAGCAGGGCAGACAUGAUAAUUUUUUUUCCCUUUCUUUCUCUAUUUAUGUAAUAUCGCUAUCUCCAUAUGUUCAUUUUUGUUCUUGAUAGUUUUUUUACGGACUGGGAAGUGGGAUUUGGUGGAUUUGGUGGUGGUGGUGGCGGCGGUCGUCGGAGUCAAAAUCGAAGUCGGUGUAGAGUAUUACGACUCCGUUGCUGGUUUCCUGAGCUAUCUGCCUUAAGCAGGGCUUGUCGCCUGUCAUUCUAUUUCUAUUGAUAAUUGUCAUUUUAUAGGGAUUCGCUGUCCGCUUGUAACAUCCUUGUGUUCGUCUGCUUGCGCCCGUGUCUCUCUGUGUGAAUAACAUCGCAACAUCCUUGGCUUCCUGCUGGGCCUCGGAAGAACUCCUGG